GGUGGCUCAGUGAUAGAGCGCUUGCCUAGAAUGCAUGAGGUCCUGGGAUCAAUUCCUCAGCACCA
rfam:Dipodomys ordii ctg_broad_rename0002382, whole genome shotgun sequence.